ensembl:lncRNA
GGAGGAUGGAAUUAUAUGACCCAGUGAAGUCAGAUACCUGCCAGAGCUAAUCCCUUGAUACAACGUUGACGCACCAGAGGACUGAGCCUGAGAUGUAGACGCAGACUGGCCUGUCUGAACCAGUGUUGUGGUGCCAGGCUGGUAUGAUGACUGGGUCUGGGCUCCAGAUGUCUGGUUUGCAGUCACCACAGACUGGGUUGAGUAUGGAAAGCCAUGACCCAGAGAAGUCACAUUCCUCCUAAUUCCUUGAUACAAUGUUGAUGCACCAGAGGACUGAGCCUGAGAUGUAGGAGCAGACUGGGCUGUCUGAAGCAGUGUUGUAGUGCCAGGCUGGUAUGAUGACUGGGUCUGGGAUCCAGAUGUCUGGUUUGUAGUGACCACAGACUGGGAGGAGGAAGGAAUUAUAUGACCCAGUGACGUCAGAUACCUGCCAGAGCUAAUCCCUUGAUACAACGUUGAUGCGCCAGAGGACUGAGCCUGAGAUGUAGACGCAGACUGGCCUGUCUGAAGCAGUGUUGUAGUGCCAGCCUGGUAUGAUGACUGGAUGUGGAACCCAGGUAUUUCGGAAAGGGUUGCUGUCAAUGGACGCUGUGCAAUAUUGUACACGCCAGAGGUUUGACUUGGAUAU